GUAGGUGGCAAGCGUUGUCCGGAAUUAUUGGGCGUAAAGCGCGCGCAGGGCGGUCCUUUAAGUCUGAUGUGAAAGCACACGGCUCAACCGUGGAGGGUCAUUGGAAACUGGGGGACUUGAGUACAGAAGAGGAAAGCGGAAUUCCAAGUGUAGCGGUGAAAUGCGUAGAGAUUUGGAGGAACACCAGUGGCGAAGGCGGCUUUCUGGUCUGUAACUGACGCUGAGGCGCGAAAGCGUGGGGAGCAAACAGGAUUAGAUACCCUGGUAGUCCACGCCGUAAACGAUGAGUGCUAAGUGUUAGGGGGUUUCCGCCCCUUAGUGCCGCAGCUAACGCAUUAAGCACUCCGCCUGGGGAGUACGGCCGCAAGGCUG
rnacentral:rRNA from 1 species